rnacentral:rRNA from 1 species
UACAGAGGUCUCGAGCGUUAGGCGGAAUCACUGGGCUUAAAGCGUGUGUAGGCGGAUGCCUAAGUACCUUGUGAAAUCCCACGGCUCAACCGUGGAACGGCUGGGUAUACUGCCUGUCUUGAGCCAACUAGGGGCGAGCGGAACAGACGGUGGAGCGGUGAAAUGCGUAGAUAUCGUCUGGAACGCCAAAGGUGAAAACAGCUCGCUGGGGUUGUGCUGACGCUGAGACACGAAAGCCAGGGGAGCGAACGGG